UACGUAGGGGGCGAGCGUUGUCCGGAAUCAUUGGGCGUAAAGCGCGUGUAGGCGGCUCGGUAAGUCCGGUGUGAAACCUUGGGGCUCAACCCCAAGCCUGCACUGGAUACUGUCGAGCUUGAGUCCGGGAGGGGAGAGCGGAAUUCCUAGUGUAGCGGUGAAAUGCGCAGAUAUCAGGAAGAACACCCGUGGCUAAGGCGGCUCUCUAGUACGGUACUGACGCUGAGACGCGAAAGCGUGGGGAGCGAACAGG
rnacentral:rRNA from 1 species